rnacentral:rRNA from 1 species
UACAGGGGGGGGCAAGCGUUGUUCGGAAUUACUGGGCGUAAAGGGCGCGUAGGCGGCCAACUAAGUCAGACGUGAAAUCCCUCGGCUCAACCGGGGAACUGCGUCUGAUACUGGAUGGCUUGAGUUUGGGAGAGGGAUGCGGAAUUCCAGGUGUAGCGGUGAAAUGCGUAGAUAUCAGGAGGAACACCGGUGGCGAAGGCGGUUCUCUGGGCAUUACCUGACGCUGAGGAGCGAAAGUGUGGGGAGCGAACAGG